rnacentral:lncRNA from 1 species
UGAAAUUUAUAUGUCUCACUCAGAAAAGCAACUUUAUUUACGUGUCAACCAAUGCACUGAAUUUUUGUGACUGAAUUUCUAUAGAUUCAGACCAUCGGAAAAAAGAAAACUAAGUCAUUGUCCAGGUGAGUAUCUUCGUCAAUCAUUACAGAGUCUUGAAUGAAGAGUAGUGCAAACACUUGACUAAGUGCUAUCCUGCUAUUUUUUCUAAUUCAGUAUCAAAUCAUAUAAUCAGUGAUUCCGUAAAACCAGAUACAUUUUGUUCAUGUUAGAUACUCAAUUCAAGUCCCAUGACUGCCUUUUAUAUCUGUGGUUAAUUUAUUCUAGCAGUUUUGAAGGCAGGCUAUUAACAGUAGCACUAAAACAUUAUUAAGCAGACAAGUCAUGCUACUCUGUCUUUCUGAUGCAAUCUGCAGAUCAAAGUGCUCUCUGUUUUUCUG